UUGAACAAAACUACAGUUUCAAUUUAGCUAUUUCCUGAGCUAAAGCUCUUUUGAAACACAUCUGAAUUACAGGUUUUUUUUUUCUGAGAUAAGCCUACAGUACUCACAGUCUAAGUAUCAGAUAAGUGUGAAAGAUUCUAACAGAUCUGCAAAGAGUUCCUCCUCUUGGAAGAGUGAAGGUUACACAGUGGGGGUCACUGCAGUCAAGUUUCUGGGUGCUGAAGUCACGUCUUGAAGGGAGAAUGUUUUCCUUCACCUCCCAGAAUGAUGACACAUAUUCCAGAGAGAGCUGCUCCGGUUGUUACUCUGCAGUGACAAAGUCACAACCCCUUGUUGCAGUCAUUCUGUGGCAGCUCUGACUCUCACAGAAUCAAGCACACACAUUGAGAGCAGAACAGCAGACGUGAUGACAAAAUGAGAUGCAAUACAGAUAUCAUUUCCUAACAGACUCCUGAAGGCUGGAAGGGUGGCUGCAGCACGAGUGCUAUGUCUAAGCCGGGCUGGUGGGAGGAGAGGAACUCACUUCUGGACGGACCUCGCUUGGAUCCUCUCUCGUCUCAUCAUCGACACGGCAGCAUCUGCAGCAGCACACAGCCACU